CACGUAGGGUGCGAGCGUUGUCCGGAAUUAUUGGGCGUAAAGAGCUCGUAGGCGGUGUGUCGCGUCGGCCGUGAAAACCUGCAGCUUAACUGUGGGCUUGCGGUCGAUACGGGCAUCACUGGAGUUCGGCAGGGGAGACUGGAAUUCCUGGUGUAGCGGUGAAAUGCGCAGAUAUCGGGAGGAACACCAGUAGCGAAGGCGACACUCUGGGCCGGUACUGACGCCGAGGAGCGAAAGCGUGGGGAGCAAACAGG
rnacentral:rRNA from 1 species